rnacentral:rRNA from 1 species
UGGGGAAUAUUGCACAAUGGGCGCAAGCCUGAUGCAGCGACGCCGCGUGCGGGAUGGAGGCCUUCGGGUUGUAAACCGCUUUUGAUCGGGAGCAAGCCCUUCGGGGUGAGUGUACCUUUCGAAUAAGCACCGGCUAACUACGUGCCAGCAGCCGCGGUAAUACGUAGGGUGCAAGCGUUAUCCGGAAUUAUUGGGCGUAAAGGGCUCGUAGGCGGUUCGUCGCGUCCGGUGUGAAAGCCCAUCGCUUAACGGUGGGUCUGCGCCGGGUACGGGCGGGCUGGAGUGCGGUAGGGGAGACUGGAAUUCCCGGUGUAACGGUGGAAUGUGUAGAUAUCGGGAAGAACACCAAUGGCGAAGGCAGGUCUCUGGGCCGUCACUGACGCUGAGGAGCGAAAGCGUGGGGAGCGAACAGGAUUAGAUACCCUGGUA